UACGGAGGGUGCGAGCGUUGUCCGGAAUCAUUGGGCGUAAAGGGCGCGUAGGCGGCCUGAUAAGUAGGGGGUGAAAUCCUGCGGCUUAACCGCAGGGCUGCCUUCUAAACUGUCGGGCUCGAGCACAGUAGAGGCAGGUGGAAUUCCCGGUGUAGCGGUGGAAUGCGUAGAGAUCGGGAAGAACAUCAGUGGCGAAGGCGGCCUGCUGGGCUGUUGCUGACGCUGAGGCGCGACAGCGUGGGGAGCAAACAGG
rnacentral:rRNA from 1 species